rnacentral:rRNA from 1 species
UACGUAGGUGGCAAGCGUUGUCCGGAUUUACUGGGCGUAAAGAGCGCGCAGGCGGUCGUGCAAGUCGCGUGUGAAAGCCCCCGGCUCAACUGGGGAGGGUCACGCGAUACUGCUCGACUCGAAGGCAGGAGAGGGAAGUGGAAUUCCCGGUGUAGUGGUGAAAUGCGUAGAUAUGUGGAGGAACACCGAUGGCGAAGGCAGCCCCCUGGGUCAAGACUGACGCUCAUGCACGAAGCGUGGGGAGCAAACAGG